rnacentral:rRNA from 1 species
AGUUCAUCCUGCUGGAGCUCGCUGCUAUUGGAAUCCGACUAAGCCAUGCAAGUUCAGGGGUCGCAAGACACCGGCAAACUGCUCAGUAACACGUCGAUAAUCUGCCCUUAGGUCAUGGAUACCCUCGGGAAACUGAGGCUAACACGUGAUAGAGGAAUUCUACUGGAAUGUGUUUUCCUUUAAAGGUGACGCCUAAGGAUGAGUUGGCGGCGGAUUAGCUUGUUGGUGGGUAAUGGCCCACCAAGGCAUUGAUCCGUAGGGGCCUUGGAAGAGGUAGCCCCGAGAAGGACACUGAGAUACUGGUCCUAGCCCCACGGGGUGCAGCAGGCGCGAAAACUUUACACUACACGAAAGUGUGAUAAGGGGAUUCCAAGUGCUUAUACACAUGUAUAAGCUUUUUGUGAGAGCAAAUUCUCGCAGAAUAAGUGGUGGGUAAGACCGGUGCCAGCAGCCGCGGUAAUCCCGGCGCCACAAGUAGGGAGCAGGGUUAUUGGGCCUAAAGCGUUCGUAGCGGGUCGUGUAAAUCUCUUGUGAAAUCGUUGGGCUUAACCUAACGGCGUGCAGGAGAGACUGCUCGACUUGAGACCGGGAGGGGUUGAGAGUAUUCCUUGGGGAGCGGUAAAAUGCUAUAAUCCUUGGAAGACUACCUGUGGCGAAGGCGCUCAACCAGAACGGGUCUGACUGUGAGGGACGAAAGCCAGGGGAGCAAUCCGGAUUAGAUACCCGAGUAGUCCUGGCCGUAAACGCUGUGAGCAAGGUGUUGCAUAUUCUAAUAUGAAUAUGCAGUGUCGAAACGAAGGUGUUAAGCUCACCGCCUGGGAAGUACGGUCGCAAAACUGAAACUUAAAGGAAUUGGCGGGGGAGCACUACAAGGGGUGCGGCGUGCGGUUUAAUUGAACUCAACGCCGGGAAUCUCACCAGGAACGACGGCAGAAUGAAGGUCAGUCUAAAGGGCUUACCCAACGAGCCGAGAGGUGGUGCAUGGCCGUCGUCAGCUCGUGCCGUGAGGUGUCAUGUUAAGUCAUGCAACGAGCGAGACCUGCAUCUACAAUUGCUAACGGCUCCGCAAGGAGGACUGAGCACAUUGUAGAGACUGCCUUGGAAACGAGGAGGAAGGUGCAGGCUACGGUAGGUCUGUAUGCCCCGAAUUCCCUGGGCUACACGCGCGCAACAAUGGUAGGGACAAUGGGAUGCAACACCGAAAGGUGGAGCUAAACCUCGAAACCCUAUCCAGUCCAGAUUGGGGGCUGAAACUCGCCCCCAUGACGUCGGAAUCCCUAGUAAUCGGACGUCAUCAGCGUCCGGUGAAUACGUCCCUGCUCCUUGCACACACCGCCCGUCAAACCACCCGAGCAGGGUCUAAGUGAGGCCUAGCCUUUAGCUAUGUCGAACUUAGGCUCAGUGAGGAGGGUUAAGUCGUCACAAGGUA